rnacentral:lncRNA from 1 species
GACAAUUCAAACUACAGGACCUUGCAUUCAUUCCUUGGCAUGAAGAAAACAACAAUAGUGGUCAUUGAAAAGAAAACAUAGUUCCAUACCGAAUGCACUUCAGUUUCUUCUUGAACUUGGCUUCUAUGCUAUUUCUUGUUUGGUUGGUUGGUUUUGCCUUCGUGCGAUGUUUGUAUGCUAGAUUUGAAAAUAUGUUGGUAAAACUUCAGAAAAAUCUCCUCCAAUAUGCAUUGAGCUCAAUUCAUGGUGCAUCAAGUGAUUACGGAAGAAUUUAUUUUGCCUUGAUGAUGCAAUAAUAGAUUGAGUUUGCCAUCUUUAACAGCUUCCUGCAUUUUGCAGUGUUUGUUUCAAUGUGUUUAGUUCAUGGAUCUAUCGAGGAAUUUAUUAAGAGAAGGGAAAAUAGUAUGGAAAAUCUAGCUUUUUCUCUUCA